GAAAACUGUUAAACCCAUUAGAAAAGUUAAGAUUGUUCAGAUAAGACAUGGUAGAUGAGUGAGCACCAGAAGAAGAUCCAUCAAUUUAUUGAACUCUACAACAUUAUCAGUAGCAGCAGCUUCAACCAGUUCAGCAAUGACUUCAAGCAGUUCAUUUCAACGAGAACCAGUUAAUCAACCAGCUGUCAGUGAUGUAAAACAAGAAUUCAGUGAUAGAAGACAGAAGAUUUUAUAUGGUUGGAGUGAACUACGUUCAAAACUGGUACAUACUCAUAUUGAGGAGUUGUCACCUGCAACCAGAGUUUGUAGUUGGUGCAGUGAAGUUGUAGAGAACAUUGUUUUUUGUCAGGAUUGUGGUCCUAUGGCGUAUUAUUGCAUGUCUUGUUGCUAUAGUCUUCAUGAGACUGUAAUGUUUCAUUCACCACAAAUUUGGAAGGAAAUCAACAUUGCUGCAAAAUUAAUUUGUGCAGAUGCGAAGAUCCUUGUGUGACACUCAUGAGGUACAGAUUGUGGCCUUCCUCACCACAGAAGCCAAGAAUUGUCUUUGACACGAAGUUUAUGGAACUGAUUGCAUCUCUCCAGUUAGAAUGUCAUGUGCCA